rnacentral:rRNA from 1 species
AGAGCACACGGAGGAUGCCUUGGUACAUGGAGGCGAUGAAGGACGUGGUAAGCUGCGAUAAGCUUCGGGUAGGUGCACACAACUGCUAAUCCGGAGAUUUCCGAAUGGGGCAACCCGUUUUGAGUUAUAUCAAAACACUUCUAUCUGAAUAUAUAGGAUAGAAAGAGCGAACGAGGUGAACUGAUACAUCUAAGUACCCUUAGGAAAAGAAAACAAUAGUGAUUCCCUUAGUAGUGGCGAACGAAAGGGGAAUAGCCUAAACCAAUAUUGUGUCAAGUCUGCAAAUCUUGCAAUAUUGGGGUUGAGGGGUUAUUAUUAAUCUAAUUGCAGUUAGAUUGACAAGUCAAAAAAUAUAAUGUUAACAAAAAGAUCUGGAAAGAUCUACCAUAGAAGGUGAUAGUCCUGUAUGUGAAAACAUUAUAUCUUGUCUUAAUAAUUCCCAAGUAGGGCGGGACACGUGAAAUCCUGUUUGAAUCUGCCAAGACCACUUGGCAAGGCUAAAUACUUCCAUGUAACCGAUAGUGAACUAGUACCGUGAGGGAAAGGUGAAAAGUACUCCGAGAGGAGAGUGAAAUAGAACCUGAAACUGUGUGUUUACAAGCGGUCAGAGUUCGGCUUUAUGCUGAACGAUGGCGUGCCUUUUGCAUAAUGAGCCAGCGAGUUAGUCGUAUGUUGCUAGGUUAAGUAUUGUUAAAUACGGAGCCGUAGGGAAACCAAGUCUGAAUAGGGCGAUUGAGUAUCAUGCGCUAGACCCGAAACCGAGUGAUCUAUCCAUGGUCAGGUUGAAAUUUCAGUAACAUGAAAUGGAGGACCGAACCCACUAAAGUUGAAAAUUUAGGGGAUGAACUGUGGAUUGGAGUGAAAGGCUAAUCAAACUCGGAGAUAUCUGGUUCUCGCCGAAAUGUCUUUAGGGACAGCGUUAAUGUAGUGUACCGGGGGUAGAGCACUGGAUGGACUAGGGGGCCUACAAGCUUACCAAACCCAACUAAACUCCGAAUACCGGAUACAUGAUCGUUAGCAGUGAGGCUAGGGGGGAUAAGCUUCUUAGCCGAGAGGGAAACAACCCAGACCAACAUCUAAGGUCCCAAAAUUUAUACUAAGUGAUUUAAGGAUGUCAAAUCGCCCAGACAGCUAGGAGGUUGGCUUAGAAGCAGCAAUCCUUUAAAGAAAGCGUAAUAGCUCACUAGUCAAGGGGUUUGGCGCCGAUAAUAUCCGGGACUAUAAAGUAUAAUACCGAAGAUUUGGAUUUAGUAAUAAGUGGUAGGCGAGCGUUCUAUUAACCGUUGAAGGUUGACUCGUGAGAGCAGCUGGAGGAGAUAGAAGUGAGUAUGCUGGCAUGAGUAGCGAUAAACACAGUGAAAUUCUGUGUCACCGAAAACCCAAGGGUUCCUGAGUAAAGCAAAUCUGCUCAGGGUUAGUCGGACCCUAAGCCGAGGCCGAAAGGCGUAGGCGAUGGAAAACGGGCUUAAUAUUCCCGUACCAGUCUAUAUUUGUUUGAACUAUGUGGUAACGUAGAAGUGAAAGAUCAGCCAGGUUUUGAUUGUCCUGGUUUAAGUGCGUAGGAAGUUCUGAUAGGUAAAUCCGUUAGAACAAUUCCGAGACACGAAUAGGAGGGCCUAGCCCACAAACUGAUCCUAAUCAUGCUACCGAGAAAAACCUCUAUGUGAGAAUAUAAACUGACCGUACUCUAAACGGACACACGUGGGUGAGGAGAGUAUCCUAAGGUGCUUGAGUGAUUCUAGGUUAAGGAACUAGGCAAAUUGGCCCCGUAACUUCGGGAGAAGGGGUGCCUUUUUAGGUGAGAUCAUUUACUGAUCAAGCUAAAAAAGGCCGCAGUGAAAAGGCGCGAGCGACUGUUUAUCAAAAACACAGGUCUCUGCUAAGUCGUAAGACGAAAUAUAGGGACUGACACCUGCCCGGUGCUGGAAGGUUAAACGGAGAUGUCAAUCUACUUCGGUAGAUGAAGCUUCGAAGUGAAGCCCCAGUAAACGGCGGCCGUAACUAUAACGGUCCUAAGGUAGCGAAAUUCCUUGUCGGGUAAGUUCCGACCUGCACGAAUGGUGUAACGACUUGCGCACUGUCUCAACCUAGAGCUCAGCGAAAUUGAAGUGUCGGUGAAGAUGCCGGCUACCCGCAGCAGGACGAAAAGACCCCGUG